rnacentral:rRNA from 1 species
GAUGAACGCUGACAGAAUGCUUAACACAUGCAAGUCUAUGAGAAGAUCUACUUCGGUAGAAGGUUAUCAUGGCGGACGGGUGAGUAACGCGUAAAGAACUUGCCUCUUAGACUGGGAUAACAGAUGGAAACGUCUGAUAAGACUAGAUAUAAUAGCGACAUGGCAUCAUGUUGUUAUGAAAGGUAACACUAAGAGAGAGCUUUGCGUCCUAUUAGUUAGUUGGUGAGGUAAUGGCUCACCAAGACGAUGAUAGGUAGCCGGCCUGAGAGGGUGAACGGCCACAAGGGGACUGAGAUACGGCCCUUACUCUUACGGGAGGCAGCAGUGGGGAAUAUUGGACAAUGGAGGAAACUCUGAUCCAGCAAUUCUGUGUGCACGAUGAAGGUUUUCGGAUCGUAAAGUGCUUUCAGUAGGGAAGAAGAAAGUGACGGUACCUACAGAAGAAGCGACGGCUAAAUACGUG